AACGCACAUUGCACUCUCUGGUAUUCCGGAGAGUAUGCUUGUUUGAGUAUCUGUAAACAUCUCAAAUCUCUCGACUUUCGAGUCUGAGAGAAUUGGACUUGAGCAAUCCCAACUCCUUCGUCAGAAAGAGGAGGGUUGCUUGAAAUGCAGGUGCAGCUGGACAUUCUUCUGAGCUAAAAGCAUAUUUAUUUAGUCCCGUCAAACGGAUUAUUAUUCUUGCUUCAGCUUACAUAAAGGUUGAAUGACUACCAAGGCUGAUUGCAGGUAAACUCGUUCCGUUAAAAGAACUUGUGAACUCGAUCUCAAAUCAAGUAAGACUACCCGCUGAACUUAA
rnacentral:rRNA from 1 species